GCCGGGCGUGGUGGCACGUGCCUGUAGUCCCAGCUACUCGGGAGGCUGAGGCAGGAGAAUCACUUGAACCCGGGAGGCAGAGGUUGCAGUGAGCUGAGAUCGUGCCACUGCACUCCAGCCUGGGUGACAGAGUGAGACUCUGUCUCAA
rnacentral:SRP_RNA from 1 species